rnacentral:lncRNA from 1 species
CCCAGGGUGAAGCCACUCUGGGCUCAUAUAAGGGCAGCCACUGAAGGGAGAGCAACUCUUGGGCCUGGGCUGCUUUUUGAGGAGGAGUGCUGUAUGGCAGAGAGCCCCUUCACCAAAAGGGGAUCAACCUUCCUACUCACAGGCUUCCAUGGCCAUGCAAAAAUCUUUUUUGAAGCUCCUCUUUGAGUUCCCUGUGGCAAGAAACAGAGCAUUUUCUCGUCUUACUGAAGCAGAAAUAUUAUGUUAUCCCUAAAAUCAUCAGCUGCAGACUUAUGUAACAAUAGAACCUGUUUUCCAGGAACAAUAUUAAUUGCAGUCUAUUAUAAGCCAUGGAAAACAUUUUUCAGUGUUAUGAGUCAUGCUUCUUCUCGUCAGGCUAAGUGCUGUGAACUGUAUUUCCUGAAAACAGUACCUUUACUCAGUGCAGGGGCUGUGUUAGCAUUGACACCUGAUGACUUUCCAAGGUUUUAUUCUGAAAUAGAAUGGGCACUUGUGGAAGGACUGCAAUGGUAUCACCUUUAUUUGGACUUCUGCAGUGGACAUCUGAUGCUGUCAUAGCAACGGAUCCCUGAGUUGUUAGAAUUUGAAGCCACAGCAUCUGAAUUCCCUGUUGUGAUGGGAAACAGCUGUAUCGAUGGCCUGCAUUCACCAUAAUUUCUGCCACUCCAGAUGCCUGCAGCACAGCCUACAUUUCUGUCAUCAGGGCUGUAUUUCCCUUGGGUUUUACAUGGAGCCUUGUGCUUCUCUAGUUCUUCCUCUCUCCUGACCCAAAAUUUUGUCAACAUAAGAUUUUCAGAAGCUAGAGCUUCAUGUACAUCUGUAUUUACAUACCCAGAUACCAAAGCUGUCCUUGAAGUCUGAUAUUUCAAUAGUUGUGUCUUGCUCUUGCUAUUAUUUGUUUACAAAGUAUUAUCACUGGAUAUAUAAAUGUACAACAAAACACAGAAAUAUUUAUAUGUAUAUAUUGCACCCCCAGUCACAAACAAGAGACAGUAAAAUAUGCUUUUUACCAGACAGAUAGUGAUGUUAUUCCUGGGCUUAGCAGAGGUUUGGCAUAAGAGAUUAAAACAUCAUAACUUCUAAGUAGAGAAGUAAAGUUUUACAGAGGAGAUAUUAAGAAUUCAU